rnacentral:rRNA from 1 species
UAGGGAAUAUUGCGCAAUGGGGGAAACCCUGACGCAGCGACGCCGCGUGAGUGAUGAAGGCCUUCGGGUCGUAAAGCUCUGUCGUAUGGGACUAACAAAAUGAAGGUACCAUGCAAGAAAGGAUCGGCUAACUUCGUGCCAGCAGCCGCGGUAAGACGAGGGAUCCUAGCGUUGUUCGGAAUCAUUGGGCGUAAAGCGGGUGUAGGCGGGCUUAUAAGUCAGGUGUGAAAUCCCAGGGCUCAACCCUGGAAGUGCACUUGAUACUGUAAGUCUUGAAUGUGGUAGAGGUUACUAGAAUUCCUGGUGUAGUGGUGAAAUACGUAGAUAUCAGGAGGAAUACCGGUGGCGAAGGCGGGUAACUGGACCAACAUUGACGCUGAGAUCCGAAAGCGUGGGGAUC